ensembl:lncRNA
CGCACCUUUGCUCACGUGGAUGCUGUUAUUAUUAACCCUUCGAUUCCCUAACACGUAAGAAGCGCCUAGCCUAGUCUACCACACCUGUGGAGCACCUUCAGGAUGACAAGGGCCUUUCUGGAAAUUAUCAAUGUGGUAUCAUCUUCGGUCCUGAAAAGAAGCCUAUAAGCCGACGUUUAAGCCUUUGUGGCUUUUCAGUGGAGCAGAGGCCCUUAAGAUACCUUGAACCAGGCCGACAACCUCUGUGUCUGUGUCGAUGGCACUGCGUUCUGUGGCUGAUGUGACGCUGCAUUCUGGAAACAGGGCGUUUCCUUUGGCAUUGGGAUGGCAUAUUUUUUAAAUCAAGGCCUUUGCUUUAUUUUAAGGGGUCUCCUGGCAGUCUGCCAGAAUAUGUCCACUUCUUCUUCCCCAAUGGCUGCACAAGAUCGUGACUUUUUGCACAGCUGUUCUCUUUGCGGGUCUUAGCUAUUGAAAAAACUCAAGGGCAGCAGCCACCAUUUUAUGAUGCAGUAGACGGGCAAGGUGUCUGCAAAUUAGAAAUGUAUCAGGACAACUAGUAUUCAACUAGUAUUAGAAGUAGUUAUCAGGACAACUACUAUUUAAAUGGUAUAUAUGGAAAUGAACCAUGUUUAACCGUCAGUGAGUGAACCUAUUCAGGGUUACUCCCCCAACUUACAUUUCUUUUUUGUAGUCUUUAUUAAAAUAGUUAAUACAUUUGUAAUAAGCCGUGUGGAAAUGCAUUGAAAAGGGUAACAAUUUACUUAUUGGGCUGCUCCAAAGGUUUCCUGUCAUAAUCUCCAUCAAAUGUUAUGUCAUUUUUUUAGUUUUAUGGUCAACUUUCCCCAUAAAUUGCAGUAUAUUAUUUAACAUUUGACCGCGAUUAUCUUAUGAUUCCAAAUCAAG